rnacentral:rRNA from 1 species
GACGAACGCUGGCGGCGUGCCUAACACAUGCAAGUCGAACGACGUGGCGAACGGGUGAGUAAUACGUGGGUAGCAAGCCCUCCUUUAUGGGAUAAGCCUUGGAAACGGGGUCUAAUACCGACAAAAGGGGGAGGGGCUCGCGGCCUAUCAGUUUGUUGGGGGGGUGAUGGCCUACUAAGACGGUGACGGGUAGCCGGCCUGAGGGGGUGACCGGCCAAAUUGGGACUGAGAUACGGCCAAGACUCCUACGGGAGGCAGCAGUGGGGAAUAUUGCACAAUGGGCGAAAGCCUGAUGCAGCCAUGCCGCGUGUAUGAAGAAGGCCUUAGGGGUGUAAAGUACUUUCAGCGGGGAGGCGUUACCCACAGAAGAAGCACCGGCUAACUCCGUGCCAGCAGCCGCGGUAAUAC